CUCCAGUUCAAUGUCCCCCACACUGUCGAGCAGCUCUUUUUGACUGGCAAUCUUGCGCUGUGAAAAUGACAAAGAGAAUUGUAACCCCAAAUGGAAAAGACGAGCUUAUGAAAAAUGAGAAAGCUUAAGAGGUAUGUGGAACGCCUGUUGGAAGCGCUCCGGACCUUCUAUCUGGAUGCAUACCUAACGACUUCCUC